CAUUUUUCCACCCUCCUUCCUAGUACAAUCCUACUCAGCCAUCCCCAUCCUCCUACCUCAUCCACGCCGCCAUGUCCGCAUCGUCGUCAUCUUCUCUCCCCGUCCCAGAGGAUUGGCUUCUCCCUGUCAUGCCAUGCCCACUCUGAGGGGACGAGGUAGUGACCAACGUCGCUAGAACCGGAUCCCAGGCUGGUCAGAGAUUCUACAAAUGUGUGCCCUACGAUUGCCGUUUUUCCGAGUUCCAGCUUGCAUACUGCAGAAGGAUGACUCCUUACCAGAUCGCCAUCGCUCGACGGCAAGCCGGAAUGCAUCCAGCCGGCCAGGGAGUUGGUGUCCAGCAGGGCAACGUGGCGGCCCAGAUUGUUCCUGCUGCCAUCCAGCCCCAAGUGCAACACCUCCCGCCGGCGGCCAACAACCUGAUUGCUGAAGCCAUUAGGCCGGUUGCCGCAGCCGGAGCCACCACUGGAGCACAAGGCCUCGCCAUUCUUUUUAAUUUUUACAUGAGGACAUGUGAAGGUAGCUUUUACCUUACGCAUGGCUGCAAAGCAUUCCAGCGUGCUCAAACUGACCACACUCGCAAGUGUAUAUUGUUUUGUCUUCGUUUAUGGUCACCUCGUACUCAACC